rnacentral:rRNA from 1 species
CCUACGGGGGGCUGCAGUCGAGAAUCUUCGGCAAUGGGCGCAAGUCUGACCGAGCGACGCCGCGUGUGGGAUGAAGGCCCUUGGGUUGUAAACCACUGUCAGAGGGGAUGUAGCCUCAGAGGAAGCACGGGCUAAGUUCGUGCCAGCAGCCGCGGUAAUACGAGCUGUGCAAACGUUAUUCGGAAUCACUGGGCUUAAAGGGUGCGUAGGCGGCUUGUUAAGUAGGGUGUGAAAUCCCCCGGCUCAACCGGGGAAUUGCGCCCUAAACUGGCGAGCUGGAGUGAGAUAGGGGUGUGUGGAACUUCCAGUGGAGCGGUGAAAUGUGUUGAUAUUGGAAGGAACGCCAGUGGCGAAAGCGACACACUGGGUCUCACUGACGCUGAGGCACGAAAGCCAGGGGAGCAAACGGGAUUAGAUACCCCAGUAGUC